AGUGAACGCUGGCAGUAGGCCUAACACAUGCAAGUCGAACGGCAGCACAGUAAGAGCUUGCUCUUACGGGUGGCGAGUGGCGGACGGGUGAGGAAUACAUCGGAAUCUACUUUUUCGUGGGGGAUAACGUAGGGAAACUUACGCUAAUACCGCAUACGACCUACGGGUGAAAGCAGGGGAUCUUCGGACCUUGCGCGAUUGAAUGAGCCGAUGUCGGAUUAGCUAGUUGGCGGGGUAAAGGCCCACCAAGGCGACGAUCCGUAGCUGGUCUGAGAGGAUGAUCAGCCACACUGGAACUGAGACACGGUCCAGACUCCUACGGGAGGCAGCAGUGGGGAAUAUUGGACAAUGGGCGCAAGCCUGAUCCAGCCAUACCGCGUGGGUGAAGAAGGCCUUCGGGUUGUAAAGCCCUUUUGUUGGGAAAGAAAAGCAGCAGGUUAAUACCCCGCUGUUCUGACGGUACCCAAAGAGUAAGCACCGGCUAACUUCGUG
rnacentral:rRNA from 1 species